rnacentral:rRNA from 1 species
GAUGAACGCUAGCGGGAGGCCUAAUACAUGCAAGUCGAGCGAGAAGCUAGAUUUCGGUUUAGUGGAAAGCGGCGAACGGGUGAGUAACGCGUACGCAAUUUACCCUUGAGUGUGGAAUAGCCCUGGGAAACUGGGAUUAAUACCGCAUGGUUUAUGGAACUGGCAUCUGUUUCAUAAUAAAGCUUCGGCGCUCAAGGAUAAGCGUGCGUCCCAUUAGCUAGUUGGUAAGGUAACGGCUUACCAAGGCGAUGAUGGGUAGGGGGCGUGAGAGCGUGGCCCCCCACACGGGUACUGAGACACGGACCCGACUCCUACGGGAGGCAGCAGUAAGGAAUAUUGGACAAUGGACGCAAGUCUGAUCCAGCCAUCCCGCGUGCAGGAUGAAGGCGCUACGCGUUGUAAACUGCUUUUGUACAGGAAGAAACGCCCGGAUUUAUCUGGGCCUGACGGUACUGUAAGAAUAAGCACCGGCUAACUCCG